UACGUAGGGGGCAAGCGUUGUCCGGAAUUAUUGGGCGUAAAGAGCGCGUAGGCGGUCCGAUAAGUCGGCUGUGAAAGUCAAGGGCUCAACCCUUGAAAGCCGGCCGAUACUGUCGGACUAGAGUCCGGAAGAGGCAAGUGGAAUUCCCGGUGUAGCGGUGAAAUGCGCAGAUAUCAGGAGGAACACCGAUGGCGAAGGCAGAUCUCUGGGCCGUAACUGACGCUGAGGAGCGAAAGCGUGGGGAGCGAACAGG
rnacentral:rRNA from 1 species